rnacentral:rRNA from 1 species
GUCGAGCGAACAGAUGAGGAGCUUGCUCCUUAAGAUGUUAGCGGCGGACGGGUGAGUAACACGUGGGCAACCUGCCCUAUAGUUUGGGAUAACUCGCGGAAACGUGAGCUAAUACCGAAUAAUACAUUCCAUCUCCUGAUGGGAUGUUGAAAGAUGGUUUUUCGCUAUCGCUAUAGGAUGGGCCCGCGGCGCAUUAGCUAGUAGGUGAGGUAACGGCUCACCUAGGCAACGAUGCGUAGCCGACCUGAGAGGGUGAUCGGCCACACUGGGACUGAGACACGGCCCAGACUCCUACGGGAGGCAGCAGUAGGGAAUCUUCCACAAUGGACGAAAGUCUGAUGGAGCAACGCCGCGUGAGUGAAGAAGGUUUUCGGAUCGUAAAACUCUGUUGUAAGGGAAGAACAAGUACAGUAGUAACUGGCUGUACCUUGACGGUACCUUAUUAGAAAGCCACGGCUAACUACGUGCCAGCAGCCGCGGUAAUACGUAGGUGGCAAGCGUUGUCCGGAAUUAUUGGGCGUAAAGCGCGCGCAGGCGGUCCUUUAAGUCUGAUGUGAAAUCACGUGGCUCAACCACGUGCGGUCAUUGGAAACUGGAGGACUUGAGUGCAGAAGAGGAAAGUGGAAUUCCAAGUGUAGCGGUGAAAUGCGUAGAGAUUUGG